GUGCUCACUUUGGCAGCAUAUAUACUAAAAUUGGAAUGAUACAGAAAAGUUAAGCAUGACCACUGGGCAAAAAUUACAUGCAAAUUCAUGAAGUCUAUAUUUUU
rnacentral:snRNA from 1 species